rnacentral:rRNA from 1 species
GAGUUUGAUCCUGGCUCAGGAUGAACGCUGGCGGCGUGCUUAACACAUGCAAGUCGAACGAAGCACUUGAGAUUGAAUCUUCGGAUGAGAACUCUUGUGACUGAGUGGCGGACGGGUGAGUAACGCGUGGGUAACCUACCUCAUACAGGGGGAUAACAGUUGGAAACGACCGCUAAUACCGCAUAACCCGCUAGUAUCGCAUGAUACGGACGGAAAAGAUUUAUCGGUGUGAGAUGGACCCGCGUCUGAUUAGCCAGUUGGCAGGGUAACGGCCUACCAAAGCAACGAUCAGUAGCCGGCCUGAGAGGGUGAACGGCCACAUUGGGACUGAGACACGGCCCAAACUCCUACGGGAGGCAGCAGUGGGGAAUAUUGCACAAUGGGGGAAACCCUGAUGCAGCGACGCCGCGUGAGUGAGGAAGUAUUUCGGUAUGUAAAGCUCUAUCAGCAGGGAAGAAAAUGACGGUACCUGACUAAGAAGCCCCGGCUAACUACGUGCCAGCAGCCGCGGUA